ensembl:lncRNA
GUGUGCAGAUACAUCUGAAUUACUCCAUCAAAGAUGCAAAGACUCUGAAUGAUCCCAUAACUUUCUGAAAUAAAACGUGUGCCACUCCAAGGGUGGAGAAGAGAGGUGGAAAAGCUACCCAUGAAGAUGGCAAGGGCAAGCUCAUUUCAGAUUCCAGGAGUCAGAAGUAGAAAUUCAGCUGUGGGUAACAGCUGGCAGAAGGUUACACUCAUCUAUACGUGUGUCAUUUUCUCUGCAGAAAAGGUCCGCGGCCCUACCAAGUGAGAUUGGUAUGACCUAACAGAUGUACCACCAGCCUGCAGCAAGCAACCCCACCAACCAGUUAAGAAGUCAAAAUGAAGCUCAGUGAUGUGAACGACGGCAUCUUUUCC